rnacentral:rRNA from 1 species
GAGCCUGCGUUAUGCUCGUAGGUUUCGCCUAAGGAUGAGGCCGCGACCGAUCAGGUUGUUGGUGAGGUAAUGGCUCACCAAGCCUUUUACCGGUGCGGGCCGUGAGAGCGGAGCCCGGAGAUGGGCACUGAGACAAGGGCCCAGGCCCUACGGGGCGCAGCAGUCGCGAAAACUUUGCAAUACACGCAAGUGUGACAGGGCUAUCCCGAGUGCCAUCCGCUGAGGAAGGCUUUUACCCAGUCUAGAACGCUGGGGGAAUAAGGAGAGGGCAAGUCUGGUGUCAGCCGCCGCGGUAAUACCAGCUCUCCGAGUGGUGUGGAUGUUUAUUGGGCCUAAAGCAUCCGUAGCUGGCUAGGUCAGUCCCUUGUUAAAUCCACCGAAUUAAUCGUUGGAUUGCGGGGGAUACUGCCUGGCUAGGGAACGAGAGAGGCAGACGGUAUUUUCGGGGUAGGGGUAAAAUCCUAUAAUCCCGGGAAGACCACCAGCGGCGAAGGCUGUCUGCUAGAACGCGUCCGACGGUGAGGGAUGAAAGCUGGGGGAGCGAACCGGAUUAGAUACCCGGGUAGUCCCAGCUGUAAACGAUGCAGGCUAGGUGUUUGGACGGCCACGUGCCGUUCUAGUGCCGCAGAGAAGCUGUUAAGCCUGCCGCCCGGGGAGUACGAUCGCAAGAUUGAAACUUAAAGGAAUUGGCGGGGGAGCACCACAAGGGGUGAAGCUUGCGGUUUAAUUGGAGUCAACGCCGGGAAGGGC